rnacentral:tRNA from 1 species
GCGGGCGUGGCGGAAUGGCAGACGCGAUAGACUUAGGAUCUAUUGGGUGACCGUGCAGGUUCAAGUCCUGUCGCCCGCACCA